AACGAAAGCUGGCGGCAUGCUUAACACAUGCAAGUCGAACGAGACCUUCGGGUCUAGUGGCGCAUGGGUGCGUAACGCGUGGGAAUCUGCCCUUUGCUACGGAAUAACUCAGAGAAAUUUGUGCUAAUACCGUAUAAUGUCGCAAGACCAAAGAUUUAUCGGCAAAGGAUGAGCCCGCGUAAGAUUAGCUUGUUGGUGGGGUAAAGGCUCACCAAGGCGACGAUCUUUAGCUGGUCUGAGAGGAUGAUCAGCCACACUGAGACCGAGACACGGCCCAGACUCCUACGGGAGGCAGCAGUGGUGAAUAUUGGACAAUGGGCGAAAGCCUGAUCCAGCAAUGCCGCGUGAGUGAUGAAGGCCUUAGGGUUGUAAAGCUCUUUUACCAGUGAUGAUAAUGACAGUACCUGGAGAAUAAGCUCCGGCUAACUCCGUGCCAGCCGCCGCGGUAACAC
rnacentral:rRNA from 1 species